rnacentral:rRNA from 1 species
CCUAACACAUGCAAGUCGAACGUGAAAGUGGAGACAAUCCAUGAUAAAGUGGCGCCGGGUGAGUAAACAACGUGAACUAAACCUACCCUGAAGUGGGGAAUAAACCUCGGGAAACCGGGGUAAUACCGCAUAACAUCGCGAGCUGUAAACGACUUGUGAUCAAAGGAGCAAUUCGCUUUAGGAGGGGGUCGCGGCUGAUUAGCUAGUUGGUGAGGUAACGGCUCACCAAGGCAAAGAUCAGUAUCCGGCCUGAGAGGGCGCACGGACACACUGGAACUGAAACACGGUCCAGACUCCUACGGGAGGCAGCAGUGGGGAAUUUUGCGCAAUGGGGGAAACCCUGACGCAGCAACGCCGCGUGGAGGAUGAAGUCCCUUGGGAUGUAAACUCCUUUCGAUCGGGACGAUUAUGACGGUACCGGAAGAAGAAGCACCGGCUAACUCUGUGCCAGCAGCCGCGGUAAUACAGAGGGUGCAAGCGUUGUUCGGAAUUAUUGGGCGUAAAGGCGCGUAGGCGGUGCUGUAAGUCUGUGGUGAAAUCUCUGGGCUC